GGUUUCUUGAGAUAAAUAAGAGAUUUAACCUGCCCACUGAAAGUUUAAAUUUGAAGGGCCGCAGUAUUUUGACUGUGCAAAGGUAGCAUAAUCAAUAGUCUUUUAAUUGAAGGCUAGAAUGAAUGGUUGGACGAGGUAAAUACUGUUUUAAGGUGAAUAGAUGUUGAAUUUAAAUUUUAAGUAAAAAUGCUUAAAUGAAAUUAAGGGACGAGAAGACCCUAUAGAGUUUAAUAUAAAUUUUGUUUUAAAUGUUAAAAAUUAAUAUAAUUAAAAUUUUUAUUUGGUUGGGGAGAUGGAAAGAUAAAUUGUAACUCUUUUUUGAAAUAAAUUUAAAUUUAUAGAUUUUUGAUCCACUAUUUAGUGAUUAUAAGAUAAAAUUACCUUAGGGAUAACAGCGUAAUUCUUUUUGAUAGUUCAUAUAGAAAAAAGAGAUUGUGACCUCGAUGUUGGAUUAAGAUAAAUUUUAGGUGUAGAUGUUUAAAAAUAUGGUCUGUUCGACCAUUAAAUUCUUACA
rnacentral:rRNA from 1 species